GCGGGAUGGGGUUGCAGGGAAGGGAUAGUCUGGGACUGUGGCAUCAUGCUGGUAGCUGUGAAUUUGCAGUGUUUUACCUGCUACCUGUUGUUGAAGAACAGCAGGUGAUCUCAAUGGACUUUGGGGCACAUGGAUCCUAUUGAAGCCUGCCCUGGGCUACCCUUUCUCGGAGUCAGAAGAAAUGAGAAGCUAGCCUGCCAAUAGUCAACAGUGUCAUUUGCUAGACCAGCUGUUGCCAUUCUUUGUUCACAAAGCACUGGAUGAUUAAGCUUGCUACUUAUGUAAUAAAAGAGAAAAUGGGGAGGCUAAUUGAAUGCAGAAUAAGUGGGUUAUUCGCUCAUAGGCGCAAGUCUGUGUAUUAGUGUCCUGUGGUUGCUGUAAUAAAUGACCACAAAUGUGGUGGCUUAAGACGACACACAUUUAGUCUGCUAUAGUUCUGGAGGAAAGAAGCUGGGACUCAGUUUCACUGGGCACAAAUCAGGAUGGCGACAGGGCUGUGUUUCCUUGGAGGGUCUAGUGAGUGAUCACACUGAGAGCCCACCUGGAUCAUUCAGGCUAAUCCCUCCAUCUCUAGAUCUCUAAUGUAGCCACAGCUGCAAAGUGUCUAUAUAAGGUAACUUGCACAGGUGUAAGGAUUCCAUCUUCAGACUCUUUAGUGGCGCCAUUAUUCAGCUGACCACAAUCUGCAAGGUCAGUGAGUUUCCUCAUGGAUUUACAUACCCCCCAUUUAAGCAUAAUUAAUUCUAUAGGAAUUCAUUAUUAAUCAAUGUGCAGUGGGAUCCUAGAGGCCCAAAGAAGUUUGUCUUCUUUCCAAAAGGCCCACUUCAUACUCAAGUUGGGAACGUGGGAACCAGAUUAGAUUUUUAUCCAUAAUAGCUACUCCCAAGACUUUGUAUUCAAUCUGCACUACUCUCUGGAGGAGGCCACGUUUGCCUGAGUUUGUGCAGAGAAGGCUUAUUCCUUUCUCCUCUUGUGCUCGUCACUCUUCCAAAUACGAGUCUAGUCACAGCACAGGAGCACUGACUGGAAACUCUAUUGGCUGGGCUCCCUCUGGACCUCAGCGGGGCCUGGAAGGAUCCCAUGUGAAGCUUUGGGCUUGGCUGCUUUCCACUCCACAGUUGGGAGCCCCACCUAUGACAAUGGCCAGUGAAUUCCCUCUCGGUCUUCUUGGCAUACCUUUAGAAUGAUCCUAGGAGUGCCUGUCACAUCCAGGGCUGAGGAUGCUAUAAAUGGAGAAGAGGCGAAUGAAUCUGUGUGCCAGGUAGAAUGAUCUAUGGAACGUCAGAGGGAAAACCUGGUUUAAGAUUGAAGGGCCCAGAAUCUGGGGUUAGACUGCCUUAGCCUGAAUCUAGUCUGUGUGAUCCUGGGCAAGUUGAGAAACCUUUGGGAGCCUUGGUUUCCAUACCUGUAAAAUGGGGGACAAUUGCAGUUCUUAGCUUCUAGGGCUCCUGCAAAGACGGAGUGGUAUAUAACUUUGAGUCAAACUCUUAGCACCGUGCUGGCAUCUGGAAUGCACUCAAUCCAUGGAUGCACUUGGGAAUGAUGUGCCCGCUGUGGGGACUCUUAGAACACAGCUUUGCUGGUGGAUUCACCAAGGUGGUGCUAAAUAUAGGUGUGUGGGGGGAAAAUGCACUGCACCCUGAGUCCUAUCUUUAGUCAUAUUUAUGGAGACUCUUGACAGAGGCAGUGCUGUGCGGAACCUAUAGAUGUAUAAAAUAUAGAACUCAGCAUCUGAAAGAGAGAGGAAAAUAGAUAUAAAAUUCUUUUAGGAGUUCCCGUCAUGGCUCAGCGGAUCAAACAUGGGUUCGAUCCCCGGCCUCACUCAGUGGGUUAAGGAUCUGGCGUUACUGUGAGCUGUGGUGUAGGUCGAAGAUGCAGCUCAGAUCUGGUGUUGCUGUGGCUGUGGUGCUUGCUGGCAGCUACACCUCUGAUUUGACCCCUCGCCUGGGAACCUCCAUAUGACUCGUGUGUGGACUUAAAAAAAAAAAAAA
rnacentral:lncRNA from 1 species